AUUGAACGCUGGCGGCAGGCCUAACACAUGCAAGUCGAACGAGAGGCGGACGGGUGAGUAAUGUCUGGGAAACUGCCUGAUGGAGGGGGAUAACUACUGGAAACGGUAGCUAAUACCGCAUACCAUCGGAUGUGCACAGAUGGGAUUAGCUAGUAGGUGGGGUAAAGGCUCACCUAGGCGACGAACCCUAGCUGGUCUGAGAGGAUGACCAGCCACACGGGAACGGAGACACGUUCCAGACUCCUACGGGAGGCAGCAGUGGGUAAUAGUGCACAAUGGGCGCAAGCCUGAUGCAGACAUGCCGCGUGUAUGAAGAGGGCCUUCGGGUUGUAAAGUACUUUCAGCGGGUAGGCGUUACCCGCAGAAGAAGCACCGGCUAACUCCGUGCCAGCAGCCGCGGUAAUUC
rnacentral:rRNA from 1 species